UGCCAGAGCUGACCAACUGUGG
rnacentral:piRNA from 1 species